UACGAAGGGGGCUAGCGUUGCUCGGAAUCACUGGGCGUAAAGGGUGCGUAGGCGGGUCUUUAAGUCAGGGGUGAAAUCCUGGAGCUCAACUCCAGAACCGCCUUUGAUACUGAAGAUCUUGAGUUCGGGAGAGGUGAGUGGAACUGCGAGUGUAGAGGUGAAAUUCGUAGAUAUUCGCAAGAACACCAGUGGCGAAGGCGGCUCACUGGCCCGAUACUGACGCUGAGGCACGAAAGCGUGGGGAGCAAACAGG
rnacentral:rRNA from 1 species